GGGCGGCUCGCCUAGCGGUCGGGCACUAGUUUUACACGCUAGCUUGAGGCAGGUUCGACUCCUGCGCCGCCCA
rnacentral:tRNA from 1 species